CAAGUCAAAGACAAGUUUUUUUUCUAAUUCAUUUGCAGUGGUCAAGACAGUACCCACUCUCAGUACUUAAGUAAUGACAAAAUCUACUGGUAAAAGUAGCUGUACUAAUGUCACUCCUUAAGUAAAAUAAAAAAAUGUAAAGACUCUGAAAUGUAUUUAAGUAAAAAGUAAACAUACAUGUUGUUGUCAAUUGCAUACAACAUUGUACCAGUUUUGAUAACUUGGCACCAAAGGCUAGCAACCGACCGAACGUUGGCUCAAGUUUUUAUGCUAUCAAGACAUCAUGUUCCUAUCCAAGCUAAUCCAAAUGAAUUUAUAGUGCACAUUGAAAAACAACAGGGUUGACCAAAGUGCUAUCCAAUUCAUGUAAAACACACGGGAUAUAAAACUAAGUAAGCUUACAGAAGAUAAAAACAUGACAACAUUAUGUAAAACCAAUAAAACUCUCGAAACCAAUGUAAGAAAGAAAGAAAACAUAAAAAGCUUUCCGCUCUUUAUGCACAGUGAGGGAACGGCAAGGAGAAGAAGUGUGUUUUAAGAAAUAAAUUGAAAAACGGCCAGAGUACUGGCAAGUCUAAUGUGGGGGGUUGGCUUCACAAUUUGGGAGCCGCUACCACAAAGAGCCCCGCUGUGAUUUAUCCAAUAUUUUGUACUAUUGCUGUGAACUACAUUAGCUAAUUAUAACAAAAGAAUACAUCUAACCUAUGUAUGCGUGUGUGUGUUUUCAGAUUAGGUAGAGAAUUUCCAAAUGCUAAUUUCUGCCCUCUUCCUUAGUCAAGUCUACACAACCACAGUAAGGGUCCAUAGUCCACUGCACGGGAAAGGGGGGCACAGUCUAAACGAUGAUGAUGAAAAGCCGUCAGAAAAAUAAAUACUAUAUUCAGUAAAGUACAGAUACCGGAACAAUCGACCUAAGUACAGUACGAAGUAUUUGUAUUUUGUUACAUCCCACCACAGUUAAUUUGAAGUCCCCCCCCCUCUAGUCGAAGGCCUUAAAGAAGCAUUGAGAAUGAAGGAAGGCGACACACAUGAGCCACCAUGACGAGUCGAGGCACGUAGCCGCGCUCAAGCGUGUCUUUGUGGGGCUUGGAGCGCGCAGCUGCGCUGCCUAUUGAAUUGUGAUUUGGGCUGGCCUCUACAGGUGGAAACGCUCUUAUCAAUACGGCCUGUCCGAGGCUGACCGCUGGCCGAUCCGUCUCAUUGAUGAUUUCAGGUGCCCCCCCACCGCCCCUCCCCCUCGGCCUUCCCCCCGGGAGCACCAUUGAUUCAUGUCUGGGCCGUAGUGGUGCUAUUUCCAUAUUGAUACCUGGAUGGAUGACAACGCUCCAGGAACAAGCUGCUGUUAUUGAGCUUCUUCGCUUGAUGGGUUUAUGCCCAGUGCUCAUAAUAGCUCUUCUUCUACGACGUUUAUUUAUGCAUGUGCACAACAAUAAUGGGGAUUAAUCAGUGACUUCUUGUCUGAUAUUUAUUGAUACACGAGUAACAAAUGGAUCAGUGUUAUGCGAUAGCGCUUUUCUUUCUUCUAUUGUGAUGUUUUGAAAAUGAUAUUACAAUACAGUGGACCACUACUAUUCACAGGGGAUAGGGAAUGAGCCCAACUGCAAAUGGCAAAUUUCCUGCAAAUAAAUGAAGCUCCCCUAGAAAGGAUUAUAAUCCAUUAAUAAUUUUAAACCAUAAAUCUGGCACAAACUAUAACCUCAAAACACUUUAAUAGCAUUUGAACGCAUACAAAUAUCUUCAAACAAUGCUGUCAAAAAUAAUACAAGCACAUCACGUGCAUAUUGUGUAUUGCUAUUGUAGCUAUAGUAUGUAACUUUUGGUGCCCCCUAAACUCCAAUUCUGCAUUACAACAAAAGAACAGCGCUUCAACAUGACGUAGGCUUGUAUGUUACUCUACAACAUUUUUUACUGUGUUUUGAAGGACGUGUCAUCUCGGUGCCAUCAUUUGCGGUGUGCAAACCAACCGGGCCAGCGGGGGAAAUGAAUAGGGCAUUUACUAAACCGAAACACCAAAAACUAAUUAUUACGCUAAAUGUGUGUAGGUGGAACUUCUGUAAGAAUACCUUGUAAAGGGGCACAAGAAGGCAUGCUCAGUUUUUGCCACACUUAACGUUUUCAUUUGAUUGUUUUAUAUUCAUGGCUUCGAAGUGCUUUUCAUACAAACAUUUACUGCAAUUACGACUUUACUAUUGUGUUACCGUAGGUUAGUGAUACACUACCAUGUGUUCCGAUUUACAAAUUCUAGUUACUUUGUCAAAGUAGGAAUGGAACGCCCUCAUAUAACAAAGACCCCCUCUAGUUCCUCCUCCGACUGCACUGCAUUAUUGAUAGAAACCAAGGACAUAAAGGACACCGGGAUAGAAACUGCUCGUAUGAGCCAGUUACACACUCCAACGCUAAUGUAACUAUUCACCGUCGACAGAAUCUAAACCCAGAAAAAUGAAAGGCCUCCUCUCAUAUAAAGCCUAUGCCAGCUGACUUUUGGCGAGAGGCGGGCUACACCCUGGACUUUUUACAUUUAUUUAUGGUUAGUGCUAUUGGGUAUAUGAUCUGACAUGUUUGUUUGGGUUUGCUUCACAGCUCUUGCGUGCCUGCCCAGUGUGAAGAGGGGAGGGUGCGCUAUAUUAGGGCUGGGCGAUUAUGGAAAAUAUAAUAAGCACAAUCAUUUUGAUUGAUAUUGAAAACAUGAUUAUAAACAUGAUUAUUCAUUUAUUUCAAAGAUUUGUGUUUAUUCAACUACCAAAACUCAUCUUUAAAUAUAACUUAAAAUAACAAUCAACAAAUAAAUUAACACUUAAAAUAAUAAUAUAUUAAAAUAAUAGAAAUUGGGGGAAAAAUAACAAUAACGAAAAAUAAAUAAAUUCAUGGGUAAAAACGCGCCAAUGCUUUUAGCCGUAUUGUCUAUUAUACUGUAGUUGUCUUAAAAAAUCAUCUCAUUAUUCUGGUAUACAGAAAAUAGAAAUAAUUGUGGAAAUCCUAAAAUCCUAAAACAGGAAAAGUGUUGUCUGAUUUCACAGUCAGGGGGAAAAAAAAGUAUGUUUUUAAAAUUCUUUCUUUCUUUUUUUGUUUUAAUAUAAAGUCAAUGACUGCGUUUACUGUUCCUGCUGUGUGUGCCUUGGUCUCUUAGGGGCAGUGCAGUACCAUGCAUGCAUAGAGCUACUCAUUUACUGCAAGCUAAAAAAAAAAAAAAGAAUCGAAGAAGAAAGUCACAAAAUAACGUCAAUAAAAUCAUUUGAGGUAAAUUCCUCCUGUGUCCAAAUAUUAAUAUUAGCUAGCCCGUCAAUAGCAUUUUCCAUUGACUGUUAGCAUUAAGGUAGCGAUUUCUAAACGGAUGUGUGUCUUGUAUUUAAAUAUAAAUUGAGUGUAAUUAUGUUUGUUGUGCACUUGGAUUUAUAGUAAACUCCAACUGGGGUUUCAAUAAACAGCUUAAAUCACGCUCAGGGAGGGCUGAAUAACAUUCUACAUGCUGCAAAGUAUGAGCUGCUGUAUGAGGCUACCGUUAUUAGCUUUGUUAGCUUCAGCUAUCGUCUCGAGUCUAACCCGAAUUCGUGCCCGUUUAUCCGGUGAGGUGGUGCUCGUCGCGGUUUCUCCUUGCGUCAUCACAACAUCAUGUCGUGGACGAGAUGUUUCAGUGUUGAAAUAAUUUCAGAACGACACUGAAAAUGCAGUGCAAUGCAAAUUUUCGGUGACUUAGAAAUUUGUGUCUAUACGUGGGUGGUGGCCCGACAUGGUGUGUAGUGGCCCCGGCCCACCGUUAAUGUCGGAACCUCUUUUAGGUGAGAAAGUUAAGGGCGCAACUUCGAUGAGCUGACACAAAAAAAAGAAGGAAAUGACCUUUUGUCUUCUGUACAGAAGCAAAGGCAGAAUGAUAUUAACAUUUAAAUUAGGUCAGCCAGUAAAAUGUGCCACAAGGUUGCAUGACAAUCAGCAUCGUUUGUCAGUCAAGAGCUUGUCGAUCGAUACUUUGAUAAAAGUGCGUGGCUAUAACCUGCAAGUGUCCUGUCUUGUUGAGUUGUGCUACUACUUUUUUUGGUGCUGUGAUAACCGCAGUAUCUCUUUAUUUUGAAGUGGUUAUUAUUUCCCCUCGUUGGCUCAAGUGCACACACUGCAUAAUGCGCAACAACUCCAUGGAGAGCUCGGAGUUGUGAACCCAAUUUUGAAGACAUCCUAAUUUAAAGGACAGGGAGACAGGAUUCGGCAAAAAAGGAGCCGAACUGCUCCCCCGUUGCGCUUGUAGGGUCACUGCUUUGAGACAGGCGCCUGGACUGGAGGUCAAUGUGACGCGGAUCAGGAGCGCCAACAUAUACACGUGCUGAUUACCUCCCCUCAAGUAGAAAAAAAAUGCAAAUAAUAAAUGUACGAGCAACGUGCUUGUUUUUGUGCUUGAUUAAUUAUGCCGUUUAAUUCCACAUCCACCAUGCUGCGCCUCCAUAUAAUUUCCCAGUGGUCUUGACUGUUUCUUCUCUCACUCUCUGCCCCCCCACCCCCCGCACCCCCAUCAUCGCAAUAUGAAUCAUGGAUCCGACCGUGUGCGCCUGAGGGAGCGCGGUGAUUCGGCGUGCAGGCUGACCAAUCGCGUGGAUUGGUGGUAGACUUGCCGAUGGAAGGAGUCUCCGCGUCAAGUCUGGCUACAAAACAUCAUACAAGAUGCGACCGACUGGGUCGUUGAAGGGAAACUAUGCAAAGCUCCCAUUAAUUACAACAACUACAUUCAGCACAAUGCUCCCCCGGUGGUGUGUUUUUAGCAGGAGGCCCCGAUGGAACCCUGACAGCUCUCCUCUUCCCAGCUAGGCCAACCUCCUCCUCAGCCUCCUGACAGUUCCAGUCUACAUGCAGACAGUGAUUACUGCCUGAGAUGCAGACUUUAUUGGCUAAGUAAGGGGGCGUAGUAAGCAGGGUGGAGUGAGCAAGGAGGCACCAAGGAGCCUAGGAGCAAUUGGCAAAGAGCUCCCAGUCUGCACACCUGGAAGAUGACGUUGUACCUCUAGUUUCUUUGUUUGGAUUUGUUUGCCAUCUGCAUCCUGUCUCGCUCCAGAAUUAUUUUGUACGUCUCUCUGUGGGGGUUUUCUUUGUUGUUGCACCUGUGCCUUUAGUUUUAGCGUCUUCCUGGUGAUUCUCUUUGCUCCCUUGUAAGCCACAUUUUUCUAGUCUUUGCUUUUUGUUGUGUUGCUUUUGUUUGCUUUUUGCCUUGCACAGUAGUUUUCAGUUAGUUUUUUUUUUCCUUUAGUUUUUGGAAAUACUGUUGGAUCGUCCUUACACUCUGUUACUGCUUUGGGGUCCCAUCAGUCACAAACUGUAACACUAUUGAACACAAGAUGAGACUGACGGCUUGUUGAAAAGAAACAUGCGCAUGGCUCCCAUUUUUAAUCAUUUGUUAUAAUUUGGUUAUAUGCAAAUCUGUUGAAAUAUGCCUUUACGUGAAAGUGGUCUGUAGUGCUAUGACCUCAUCAGUUAAUCGACUUCAGUUUGACUUUCAUAACAUUAUAAUCGAUUACAAAAAUCUUGUAGCGUUCGCUAUCCAUCAGUUUUUGCAAUACCAAAGAACCAACUGCAAACCUAAAGAUUUGUCAGAUGCAAAGCAAUACCUAUAAAACCCCCCAAGGUGACCCUAUCGCGCUGCAAACACCUUACUUCCACCUUGUCCAUCAGAUGUCUUCAAAAGGGUGAGUAGUUUUGCUUUAUUUAUUUUUCUUUUUUUAUACAGUGGUUAACUUGUCAUUUAGACUAUGACCGGAAGGUCGACUUUGGAGGUUCUGUUGUGUUUUUGAUUUAAAGGCGGGGUCUGGGCAGAGAAAUGGCGGCAUGGUGGGGGUGCUAUUGGCCAGGGCAGGUAGACGCUGUUAGUUAAAUGAUGCUGGCGUGCACAAGAGGGAUUGCUUUGGGAAGUUGUCAUCCAUCAUGGUUUUAGAAUGACUCAAAGCAGCACUCUGCUUGGAGGGUUAUGGUCUGGGAUCCAUGAUUGAUGCGAGCUGGAUGGGUGUUUUGUAGGCGUGAGUGGGAAAGAGAUUGUGUGUGUGUGCGUGUGCGUGCGUGUGCGUGUGUGUGUGUGCACGGGCGCACAUGUGCAACACGAUGAGAUGAGCCGGUUGUUUAGGGAGCUUCUUAAAGUGACUCUAAUCUGAUGACAACAACUGUUUCUACAUAGGAAAAAUAUCUAUGCUCGUUUCCAUGUAAUGGACACUUUAUUAGGGACACUUGAACAAUCUAAAACGAACUGUGUCAGGAAUUGUCUUUUUGAAGACAAUACUUUAUUGGCACUGUUAGAGAGGUAUUAAUGUAACAAUGUUUAUUAUUGUGGUUGUAAUUUCAGUGGUGGAGAACUGCACUGCAUCAUACUUUUAGGGGAUUCUAAUAUUUAUCCAGAUACAUGCCAGAGGCAAAAGUACACCGACAAUAUUAUGCCUUAUGUAGACCCAUGUAUUUACUCAACUGCAGAUGUUACCUUGUGUCUAUUAGGGGUAAGGCAUCAA